rnacentral:rRNA from 1 species
AGUGGGGAAUAUUGGACAAUGGGCGAAAGCCUGAUCCAGCCAUGCCGCGUGAGUGAUGAAGGCCCUAGGGUUGUAAAGCUCUUUCAACGGUGAAGAUAAUGACGGUAACCGUAGAAGAAGCCCCGGCUAACUUCGUGCCAGCAGCCGCGGUAAUACGAAGGGGGCUAGCGUUGUUCGGAAUUACUGGGCGUAAAGCGCACGUAGGCGGAUUGUUAAGUCGGGGGUGAAAUCCCGGGGCUCAACCCCGGAACUGCCUUCGAUACUGGCAAUCUAGAGUCCGGAAGAGGUGAGUGGAAUUCCGAGUGUAGAGGUGAAAUUCGUAGAUAUUCGGAGGAACACCAGUGGCGAAGGCGGCUCACUGGUCCGGUACUGACGCUGAGGUGCGAAAGCGUGGGGAGCAAA